UGGGAUGUAGCUCAGUGAUAGAGUAUUUGCCUAACACGCACAGGCCCUGGGUUUAAUUUCCAGCACCCAC
rnacentral:tRNA from 1 species